UACGGAGGGUGCAAGCGUUAAUCGGAAUUACUGGGCGUAAAGCGCACGCAGGUGGCUGAGUCAGUCGAUUGUGAAAGCCCUGGGCUUAACCUGGGAAUUGCAGUCGAUACUACUCGGCUCGAGUAUGGGAGAGGGCAGUGGAAUUCCCGGUGUAGCGGUGAAAUGCGUAGAUAUCGGAAGGAACAUCAGUGGCGAAAGCGGCUUCCUGGACCAGUACCGACGUUCAGGCACGAAAGCGUGGGGAGCAAACAGG
rnacentral:rRNA from 1 species